UACGGAAGGCAGCAGUGGGGAAUAUUGCACAAUGGGCGAAAGCCUGAUGCAGCUAUGCCGCGUGUAUGAAGAAGGCCUUAGGGUUGUAAAGUACUUUCAUCGGGGAGGAAAAAACAAAACUAAUAAUUUUAUUUCUUGACGUUACCCGAAAAAGAAGCACCGGCUAACUCCGUGCCAGCAGCCGCGGUAAUACGGAGGGUGCUAGCGUUAAUCAGAAUUACUGGGCGUAAAGAGCACGUAGGUGGUUUUUUAAGUCAGAUGUGAAAUCCCUGGGCUUAACCUAGGAACUGCAUUUUGAAACUGAAAUACUAGAGUAUCGUAGAGGGAGGUAGAAUUCUAGGUGUAGCGGUGAAAUGCGUAGAUAUCUGGAGGAAUACCUGUGGCGAAAGCGGCCUCCUAAACGAAUACUGACACUGAGGUGCGAAAGCGUGGGGAGCAAACGAGGGAUUAGAUACC
rnacentral:rRNA from 1 species